UGGAAUACUGAGAAAUCGGCUCC
rnacentral:misc_RNA from 1 species